rnacentral:snoRNA from 1 species
AGGGUCUGGCUCGCCGGAGUGCAUCUGGCUGGUGGUGUCCACCUCAUAUGAGUCAGGGACAAAGCAACCCCUUCUUCAUCCCAGCUUGGCUUUUGGACAGCGCCCUUGCCUGGUUCAUGCCCUGGACACAUGG